CAUUUAUGGUUAUAGAAUAACCAUUUUAUGGUUUUUGAUGACAAACUUUCAAUAUGGUUAUUUUUUAAGAAUUUUUCUAUGAAGAAAUUUAACCAUUUUGGUAGUUCUCGCGUAUUAACCACAAAACGGUUGAAAAACUUGGCAUUUUUUCUUCGCCAUUUUGAAAAUUUGCGUGAGGAGCAAGCAAGGAUAUGUUUUUGGAAAAGACAAAAGAAUCAAUCUUUUACUGUGAUUCGGGUGACCGUGGAGAUAAUCUAAAAGCGCACCGAUUGGAUGGCUCAGGUACAGUCCGGAAUCAGUUCCAGGGAAAAAAUGGCAACGGCUAGCACGGGAGCACUUACAUCUGGAAUAAGCGCAUCUAUAGUGUUACAGAAACUGGCCAUCUCGAUCAUUCCGUCGAAUAACAUCCGUAACAUUUGGAUGGAGCUGAAACGAGGCGGGUCGGACUGCCCGAAAAGCUCCACCCUCAGACCGUGCUGGAAUUGCGGUCAACUUAAAGUUUGUGCUGCAGCUGCCUCAAUAAGAACCUCCAGGAGCAUUUGGCAACAAGAAGCAGAAAAAAGGACCUGCCUUUCGGAAUAUAUUUGGGUCAAUAAUUUUGGCCACAUCCGCCAGUGAAAACCAGACGAAAAUGAAGAAAAGCCUAUAUAAAAGCUCGCGUUGGAGGAGGUCAUCAUCAUAAACCGAAGGCCAGCAUAAAUCAGGAUGCAAACUUUAGCCGCUGCUCGAGCGUCGGAACACAAAGUUCUACAUUGCCGAUUACCGGAAAGCCGAGCGUGAACAGUUCAUCUGGUGCUAACCAAAUAUUGUCACGGUUCGGGAGCGGGACAGCAAGUACGGACUGUUCAAGGCGAAAAAUAGGAGAAAAGACGGAAACAGUUUUCGAUUAUACUUAGAAUGUUCAUAUAUUUUUAUAUCAUGAUUUUCAAUCUUGAACAUUUUUUUAACAUUAAAAAGAGCCGUACGUACACUUUAACCACACAUAAAAAAUAAACAAUUAAA